AAUCAACGCUGGCGGCGUGCCUAACACAUGCAAGUCGAACGCGAAAGUCCCGCAAGGGGCAAGUAGAGUGGCAAACGGGUGAGUAACACGUGGGUGACCUGCCUUCGAGUGGGGGAUAACGUCCCGAAAGGGAUGCUAAUACCGCAUAACAUCCUACCUUUGAAGAGGUGGAGAUCAAAGCUGGGGAUCGUAAGACCUAGCGCUGGAAGAGGGGCCCGCGCCUGAUUAGCUAGUUGGUGAGGUAACGGCUCACCAAGGCAACGAUCAGUAUCCGGCCUGAGAGGGCGGACGGACACACUGGGACUGAGACACGGCCCAGACUCCUACGGGAGGCAGCAGUGGGGAAUUGUUCGCAAUGGGCGCAAGCCUGACGACGCAACGCCGCGUGGAGGAUGAA
rnacentral:rRNA from 1 species